GCUUCCUAUAGGAAAACCAGCGCCAACCUCUACUUAAGGUUAUAUCAUCUAAUGUGUAUUUAUAAAGAGAAAUAGUAGCAUUACUUUUUUUUUUUUUUUAAAUCUCUCUAUGUAGUCCUGCUCUGGAACUUGCUAUGUAGACUAGGCUGGCUGUGAACUCACAUAGAUCUAUCUACCUGUCUCUGCAUUCCCUGUGAUGGGAUAAAAAGUGUAUGCCUCUAUUAUUUCCACAACUGGAGAAGACCACCGACCAGAUCAUCAGGGCCAAAUUAAUUAAAGCAAGCUUUUAAAAAUUCCUGCCCACGGGAUGUCUCUCCCCAAAGCUAUUUAUCUUCAAAAUUAUUGUAGUCCCUGAGCAGUGCACUACAAAAGCCACUGGCCCACGAAAGCCCUCAAAGCAGCAGCAGGAACCCAC
rnacentral:lncRNA from 1 species